rnacentral:rRNA from 1 species
CCUACGGGAGGCAGCAGUGAGGAAUAUUGGUCAAUGGACGCAAGUCUGAACCAGCCAUGCCGCGUGCAGGAAGACGGCUCUAUGAGUUGUAAACUGCUUUUGUACGAGGGUAAAUCCCGAUACGUGUAUCGGAUUGAAAGUAUCGUACGAAUAAGGAUCGGCUAACUCCGUGCCAGCAGCCGCGGUAAUACGGAGGAUUCAAGCGUUAUCCGGAUUGAUUGGGUUUAAAGGGUGCGUAGGCGGUUCGAUAAGUUAGAGGUGAAAUCCCGGGGCUCAACUCCGGCACUGCCUCUGAUACUGUCGGGCUAGAGUUUAGUUGCGGUAGGCGGAAUGUAUGGUGUAGCGGUGAAAUGCAUAGAGAUCAUACAGAACACCGAUUGCGAAGGCAGCUUACCAAACUACGACUGACGUUGAGGCACGAAAGCGUGGGGAGCAAACAGGAUUAGAUACCCCAGUAGUC